rnacentral:rRNA from 1 species
ACGAACGCUGGCGGCGUGCUUAACACAUGCAAGUCGAACGGUGAAGCGCCUUCCUUUUUGGUGGGUGUGGAUGAGUGGCGAACGGGUGAGUAACACGUGAGUAACCUGCCCCCUUCUUCUGGAUAACCGCAUGAAAGUGUGGCUAAUACGGGAUAUUCUGGGUCUGUCGCAUGAUGGGUCUGGGAAAGAUAUUGUUUCGGUGGGGGAUGGGCUCGCGGCCUAUCAGCUUGUUGGUGGGGUGAUGGCCUACCAAGGCGGUGACGGGUAGCCGGCCUGAGAGGGUGGACGGUCACACUGGGACUGAGACACGGCCCAGACUCCUACGGGAGGCAGCAGUGGGGAAUAUGGCACAAUGGGCGCAAGCCUGAUGCAGCGACGCCGCGUGAGGGAUGGAGGCCUUCGGGUUGUGAACCUCUUUCGCCAGUGAAGCAGGCCUGCCUCGUUUGUGGGUGGGUUGACGGUAGCUGGAUAAGAAGCGCCGGCUAACUACGUG